GACGAACGCUGGCGGCGUGCUUAACACAUGCAAGUCGAACGGAAAGGCCCUGCUUUUGUGGGGUGCUCGAGUGGCGAACGGGUGAGUAACACGUGAGUAACCUGCCCUUGACUUUGGGAUAACUUCAGGAAACUGGGGCUAAUACCGGAUAGGAGCUCCUGCUGCAUGGUGGGGGUUGGAAAGUUUCGGCGGUUGGGGAUGGACUCGCGGCUUAUCAGCUUGUUGGUGGGGUAGUGGCUUACCAAGGCUUUGACGGGUAGCCGGCCUGAGAGGGUGACCGGACACAUGGGGACUGAGAUACGGCCCAGACUCCUACGGGAGGCAGCAGUGGGGAAUAUUGCACAAUGGGCGGAAGCCUGAUGCAGCAACGCCGCGUGCGGGAUGACGGCCUUCGGGUUGUAAACCGCUUUCGCCUGUGACGAAGCGUGAGUGACGGUAAUGGGUAAAGAAGCACCGGCUAACUACGUG
rnacentral:rRNA from 1 species